rnacentral:rRNA from 1 species
UACAGAGGGGGCAAGCGUUGUUCGGAAUUACUGGGCGUAAAGGGCGCGUAGGCGGCCUGUUAAGUCGAACGUGAAAUCCCCGGGCUCAACCCGGGAACUGCGUCCGAUACUGGCAGGCUUGAAUUCGGGAGAGGGAUGUGGAAUUCCAGGUGUAGCGGUGAAAUGCGUAGAUAUCUGGAGGAACACCGGUGGCGAAGGCGGCAUCCUGGACCGACACUGACGCUGAGGCGCGAAAGCUAGGGGAGCAAACGGG